rnacentral:rRNA from 1 species
UACGGAGGAUCCAAGCGUUGUCCGGAUUUAUUGGGUUUAAAGAGUGUGUAGGCGGUGCUCUAAGUCUGUUGUGAAAUCUCCCGGCUUAACUGGGAGGGUGCGGCGGAGACUGGAGUGCUAGAGUGUGGGAGAGGUAAGCGGAAUUCCUGGUGUAGCGGUGAAAUGCGUAGAUAUCAGGAGGAACACCUGUGGUGUAGACAGCUUACUGGACCACGACUGACGCUGAGACACGAAAGCGUGGGUAGCAAACAGG